rnacentral:rRNA from 1 species
GAUGAACGCUGGCGGCAGGCCUAACACAUGCAAGUCGAACGAAGUCUUCGGACUUAGUGGCGCACGGGUGAGUAACACGUGGGAAUAUACCUUACGCUGGGGGAUAACAUCGGGAAACUGAUGCUAAUACCGCAUACGCCCUUCGGGGGAAAGAUUUAUCGGCGAAAGAUUAGCCCGCGUCCGAUUAGCUAGUUGGUGAGGUAAUGGCUCACCAAGGCUCCGAUCGGUAGCUGGUCUGAGAGGAUGACCAGCCACACUGGGACUGAGACACGGCCCAGACUCCUACGGGAGGCAGCAGUGGGGAAUAUUGGACAAUGGGCGCAAGCCUGAUCCAGCCAUGCCGCGUGAGUGAUGAAGGCCUUAGGGUUGUAAAGCUCUUUCACCCACGACGAUGAUGACGGUAGUGGGAGAAGAAGCCCCGGCUAACUUCGUG